AUGAUGGGGAAAAUCAUUCAACGAUUUUACUGGAAAGGGAUUGUAAAGGACGUGGAGCAAUGGAUCCUGAAUUGUGAAGCAUGCCAGAGAUUUGAGAGGGUGAAGACUGUUGCCCCAGAACUGAAGCCAAUCAAAGUUGUUUCUCCAUGGUACAUGAUCGGUUGUAUCACUGCUGCAGUACAGUGGAAAGACAGUUUGGAUCGUGUGGCCACAUGUACAGCAGCAGCAGGGAUGUAGUGACUGUGGACUGUUUACCAUCGCAAACAGCCUCGCACUCUGCAUGGGUGAAGAGCCAGGUAAGUUAUGUUAUGAUCAAAAGCAAAUUCGUGAUCAUCUUUUUUCUUGUUUUGUAGCUGGAUCUCUUACUCCUUUCCCGAGCUGUGAGAGAACUCCCCUCCCAGAGGUACAUUUCUGUGAUGUGGAGGUCUACUGCACAUGCAGGAGACCAUACAGGAUUGGACUGGAGCUGCUGGUGGAAUGCGGGAGGUGUGGCGAAUGGUUCCAUGGCCAGUGUGAAGAUCUACAGCGAGAUGACCUCAUCAGUAUGGAGGAGUAUAUGUGCUCCAUUUGCAGAGUUACACACAUGGGUAAGCAUGGUAAGUAAAGGUGAAACAGAUUUAUUAUUUUGUUUUUUACUAUAUGUUUUUUUGAACAUUUUAUACUAAGCAUUCCAGCUUAGUAUAUUAUACUAACACUAAAAUUUGGUAAUGCCUGUCAUAAUUUAUAGCUAUUUACAUAUGUACAGUAGGGCAUUGUUAAUAAGGCUCAUUGUCUUCAGUGUUUAUUUUUCAUGAGCACACAACUACUUAUUUUGAAGACUUUUUUUUUUCAGGAGACCUUGAUUCUAUAUUGAGACGUUUUUAUUUGGAGAAAUAUUGCAGAUGCUUUUGCACUUUCAUUUUUAAUUGGUAUGGUAGUCUUAGUUCCCUUUCA